AGACAGCAUAUACCAUCCCCAUCAUGGCCUUCGCCUUCGUCUGCCAUCCCGAGGUGCUGCCCAUCUAUACGGAGCUCAAGGAGUAGGUGUCUAUGGUUGCAAGGGGGGUGGCUGCCUUAAACUGGUUUGGGGAGAAGGAACGUGGUCCUGAUAGGGUGGGGGCAGGGCGGGGUGGGGAGUGACAGGAGCCAAGUCACUUUAUCAAAGAUCUCCAUGGCUUCCAUGAGGGGCGACUGGGGGCAAGGAGGAGAUGUCCUCAGCUGCCAAAUGGUGAGGGUGUGGUGCCAGAGAGGCCCCAGGGCAUACGGGGAUCUCCGGUGUGGCCCAGCUUGGCACCCAUCCCCUCCCCUGCUUCCCCAAAGCCCCUCCAAGAGGAAGAUGCAGCACAUCUCCAACCUGUCCAUCGCCGUCAUGUAUGUCAUGUACUUCCUGGCUGCCCUCUUCGGCUACCUCACCUUCUACGGUAUGGCUGGACCGUGGGGGCAGAGGCAGAGGCCAGGCUGGGGGGCAAGGGGCUGGCCAGUGGCCAUGGCACCCUGCAUACUGGAGGUGCUAACUAGGUGCGUGAUGCCUAACUGUGCCCUACAGCUGUGGAGGUGAGUCUGUUGCCACUUCCCACAGUGUCAGGGUCAACCCAGGCUCAGAGCCCAUCCCCCUCCCUGGGCCACCUGCUGACCAUCCUCCCUGCCUGCCGCAGACGGGGUGGAGUCGGAGCUACUGCACACCUACAGCAAGGUGGACCCAUUUGACGUGCUGAUCCUCUGUGUGCGUGUGGCCGUGCUGAC
rnacentral:lncRNA from 1 species